rnacentral:lncRNA from 1 species
AAAUUGAUUCCUUUUUUACAUUUGAUUUAAGAAUAAUGAAAGAACUUGUGUCUUUAUUUUGUUGAUGCUGUUAUAGAUUGGAGGAGAGACAGAGAGCUGAAAAAAGAAUCCGUGAGGCCAAAGAUGAUAUGUUUACUCCAAAAUGGUUUGACCUUAGUGAUGAAGUCACCCCUACUCCUUGGGGUGACUUGGAAGUGUACCGGUACAAUGGCAAGUAUUCUGAACUUCGGGCUACUCUAGAUAAUUCAGAAAGCCUUGGAGAGAUUAACCCUGAGACAACCGAAUUCAACCCGUGGCAAUAUGAAGACUCGGCUGCUGAAUGAGUAAAUCACGCAAU